GCCUCUCCGUCUCGUACAGCGACAGGAACUCGGCGAUGCACACGCAGAUGAACGUCGUCUGCUCGGGGUCCUUGAACUGCUCGCUGACGGAGCGGAUGACGGGCAGCGUCUCCUCCAGCUUGGAGGCCAACUGGUCAGCGUUCAUAUCCCCCAGACCCAACAUAUUGCACAUCUGCGAGAUGAAGGGGCUGAUCUGGUUCUUGAUCUGCAUCAGCCUCCCCAGGCCCCGUUCCACGAUGGUGGGGAAGUUGAGCAGCCGCAGUGUGUGCCCGGUGGGCGCCGUGUCGAAAACCACCACCGAGAAAUUCAUCCCCUUCACCAACCUCAUCACCUCGGCGUAGCUCAUGGCCUCGUCGAUGCCGGGGAAGGCGCUCAUGGCUUCCUGCAUCAUCUUCUUGCCCAUGCUCAGCAUGUUGUCCUCCUCAAAGAACUCGUCGGGGAGUUCCGCCACUCCCAGGCUGGGGUCGAUCUCCAUGGCGAACAGAUUGUCGUAGCCCUUCACUUUGGUGGGGACUUUGGAGAACUUCUGGUCGAAGGCGUCGGAGAUGUUGUGUGCGGGGUCGGUGGAGAUGAUGAGGACACUCUCACGCACUUUGGACAGCUGCACGGCCAGGCUGCAGCUGCACGUGGUUUUGCCCACGCCGCCUUUCCCCCCCACGAAGAUCCACUUGAGGCUCCGCUGCUCGAUGAUGUUGGCCAGGGUAGGCUCCAGCGGCUCCACGUCGGGCGCAUCCUCGAACUCCUCCGCCUCCGGCCCCCAGCCGCCCGCCGCCGCCGCCAUCUUCCCCCUGC
rnacentral:lncRNA from 1 species